UUUGAAAUCUGGUACCUUUGGUGCCCGAGUUGUAAUUUGGAGAGUACCACUUUGGGACUGUACUUUGCCUAUGUUCCUUGGAACAGGACGUCAUGGAGGGUGAGAAUCCCGUGUGGCGAGGGUGUCAGUUCUUUGUAAAGGGUGCUCGAAGAGUCGAGUUGUUUGGGAAUGCAGCUCUAAGUGGGUGGUAAAUUCCAUCUAAAGCUAAAUACAGGCGAGAGACCGAUAGCGAACAAGUACAGUGAUGGAAAGAUGAAAAGAACUUUGAAAAGAGAGUGAAAAAGUACGUGAAAUUGUUGAAAGGGAAGGGCAUUUGAUCAGACAUGGUGUUUUGCGCCCCUUGCCUCUCGUGGGCUUGGGACUCUCGCAGCUCACUGGGCCAGCAUCGGUUUUGGCGGCCGGAAAAAACCUAGGGAAUGUGGCUCUGCGCCUCGGUGUAGAGUGUUAUAGCCCUGGGGAAUACGGCCAGCCGGGACCGAGGACUGCGAUACUUGUUAUCUAGGAUGCUGGCAUAAUGGUUAUAUGCCGCCCGUCUAG
rnacentral:rRNA from 1 species